rnacentral:rRNA from 1 species
GACGAACGCUGGCGGCGUGCUUAACACAUGCAAGUCGAACGGAAAGGCCCUGCUUUUGUGGGGUGCUCGAGUGGCGAACGGAUGAGUAACACGAGAGUAACCUGCCCUGGACUUUGGGAUAACUUCAGGAAACUGGGGCUAAUACCGGAUAGGAGCUCCUGCUGCAUGGUGGGGGUUGGAAAGUUUCGGCGGUUGGGGAUGGACUGGCGGCUUAUCAGCUUGUUGGUGGGGUAGUGGCUUACCAAGGCUUUGACGGGUAGCCGGCCUGAGAGGGUGACCGGCCACAUUGGGACUGAGAUACGGCCCAGACUCCGACGGGAGGCAGCAGUGGGGAAUAGUGCACAAUGGGCGGAAGCCUUAUGCAGCAACGCCGCGUGCGGGAUGACGGCCUUCGGGUUGUAAACCGCUUUCGCCUGUGACGAAGCGUGAGUGACGGUAAUGGGUAAAGAAGCACCGGCUAACUACGUG